GCUAGGAUCUCUGUCCAUCUAGUCGACCUCCAUCCAUCUUAAACCAUCCUUAAUCAACUAUCUACAGUUCCUGUGACCUUUGUGCCCCACUCACAUGAUGGCCUGAAAGGCUCUGGGUCGCCGGCUCAUGCCCAGGUCGUCAUUGCUGCACCACACAGACACGUCUCUCUUCAUGAGAAGCGACUCUGAGCAGUUGUCUGCCUUGGGGAAGGACUUGGCGCGCCCUUUCACCAUCGUAAACAUCCGGUAGCUGUGAUCUUUCUUCCUGGCGUCAAUCUUCUUCUCGAAGAACUUGUGGUAGUGGAAGUUGGCACACGCUGCAAGAGAAAUAACAACGGGUAAGGUCUUUGUCACUGUAGUUUGGAUGCAGCCUCUUUCUAAAAUCAGGGAUGCCUGAACAGUCGAUACACAAAAAUAUAACGUGUAGCCCCAAGUGUACCAGGAUACAUGUGAGCAGGUGUUUACCUUUGUGCAGGUUGUCUCGUAGUAAGUGAGAGACCUUAGGGGGGCGCUGUUUCAGCAUGUUCUUCAGGGUGCCUGGGUCGGCCCUGUCAGCAUUGAUCGGGACCCACAGCGGGAUACACCUUGGACUCAGACUUCUCUGUAUCAAUAAAGGGGGAUGAAGACGGUUUAAAAGAGUGAUCAACUAGACUCCUACAGUAGCAAAACAACUUCCACCUCACCUAGGUAGCUUUUACGAGUGGUUCUACUAGACUAGGUGUAGUAUGACAAAAGUCCUGGGAUUUCUUGAAAGCUCGAUGCGGGCCUCCCUCGCCACGUUGGUGUUCUUCUGCACCAUUUCAGCCACCAGGAAGGGGAAUUUGGAGCACACCGGCUGGCCAGCAUUGGGCAUUGGGUGGCCCGGGGGUAGAUGGACCACCUGCUCUGACUCUACCAUCAACAACAGGAGGACAUUUGAUUAACUUAAAUACAUGUAUCCAUCUUUGAUUGAAUUGUGUAGGCCUAUUAGUGCACUGAGGAAAAUAUGAAAAUACACCGAGCAGAAAUAUAAACUCAACAUG
rnacentral:lncRNA from 13 species